UGCAGUUGGAUCUAUUAUUUGAUGAGCCUGGUUUAUAGGUGUGUAAUAAGAAUCGGCCUAUCUACUAAGGUGAACAAUUGAACUCAUUUAUAAU
rnacentral:sRNA from 1 species